rnacentral:rRNA from 1 species
UACGAAGGGUGCAAGCGUUAAUCGGAAUUACUGGGCGUAAAGCGCGCGUAGGUGGUUCAGUAAGUUGGAAGUGAAAUCCCCGGGCUCAACCUGGGAACUGCUUUCAAAACUGCUGAGCUAGAGUACGGUAGAGGGUGGUGGAAUUUCCUGUGUAGCGGUGAAACGCGUAGAUAUAGGAAGGAACACCAGUGGCGAAGGCGAACACCUGGACUGAUACUGACACUG